rnacentral:rRNA from 1 species
CAAGUCGUACGAAUCCCUGGGGGCUUGCUCCCAGAGGGAAGUGGCGAAAGGGGCAGUAAGGCGUGGGUAACCUACCCUGGGGUCCGGCAUAGCCGUCCUAACGGACGGGUAAUUCCGGGCGACGUAACGCGAUCGCAUGACCGUGUUACCAAAGGUUUUCCGCCCCGGGAGGGGCCCACGUGGUAUUAGCUUGUUGGUGGGGUAACGGCCCACCAAGGCCAAGAUGCCUAGCGGGUGUGAGAGCACGACCCGCGCCACUGGCACUGAGACACUGGCCAGACUCCUACGGGAGGCUGCAGUCGAGGAUCUUCGGCAAUGGGCGCAAGCCUGACCGAGCGACGCCGCGUGCGCGAUGAAGGCCUUCGGGUUGUAAAGCGCUGUCGAGGGGGAGGAAGACCCGCAAGGGUUUGACCUAUCCCUGGAGGAAGCACGGGCUAAGUUCGUGCCAGCAGCCGCGGUAAGACGAACCGUGCGAACGUUGUUCGGAUUCACUGGGCUUAAAGGGCGCGUAGGCGGGCCUUCAAGUCCGGGGUGAAAUCCUCUCGCUUAACGAGAGAACUGCCCCGGAUACUGAGGGCCUCGAGGGAGGUAGGGGCAUGUGGAACUUCCGGUGGAGCGGUGAAAUGCGUAGAUAUCGGAAGGAACGCCGGUGGCGAAAGCGACGUGCUGGACCUUUUCUGACGCUGAGGCGCGAAAGCCAGGGGAGCAAACGGGAUUAGAUACCCCGGUAGUCCUGGCCCUAAACGAUGGGUACUAGAUUGGAGACUGACAUGGGUUUCCAAUCGAAGCUAAAGUGUUAAGUACCCCC